UACGUAGGUGGCAAGCGUUAUCCGGAAUUAUUGGGCGUAAAGCGCGCGCAGGUGGUUUCUUAAGUCUGAUGUGAAAGCCCACGGCUCAACCGUGGAGGGUCAUUGGAAACUGGGAGACUUGGAGUGCAGAAGAGGAAAGUGGAAUUCCAUGUGUAGCGGUGAAAUGCGUAGAGAUAUGGAGGAACACCAGUGGCGAAGGCGACUUUCUGGUCUGUAACUGACACUGAGGCGCGAAAGCGUGGGGAGCAAACAGG
rnacentral:rRNA from 1 species